rnacentral:rRNA from 1 species
GACGAACGCUGGCGGCGUGCUUAAUACAUGCAAGUCGAACGAGUGGUGGACGGGUGAGUAACACGUGGGAACCUACCCAUCAGAGGGGGAUAACACUUGGAAACAGGUGCUAAUACCGCAUACUGAUGGAUGGACCCGCAGUGCAUUAGCCAGUAGGUGAGGAAACGGCGCACCUAGGCGACGAUCCCUAGCUUGUCUGAGAGGAGGGUCAGCCACACUGGGACUGGGACAAGGCCCAGACUCCUACGGGAGGCAGCAGUGGGGAAUAUUGCACAAUGGGCGCAAGCCUAAUGCAGCCAUGCCGCGUGUAUGAAGAAGGCCUUCGGGUUGUAAAGUACUUUCAGUCGGGAGGCGUUACCGACAGAAGAAGCACCGGCUAACUCCGUGCCAGCAGCCGCGGUAAUAC